UGGGGAAUAUUGCACAAUGGGCGCAAGCCUGAUGCAGCCAUGCCGCGUGUAUGAAGAAGGCCUUCGGGUUGUAAAGUACUUUCAGCGGGGAUGAAGGCGAUGCGGUUAAUAACCGCGUCGAUUGACGUUACCCGCAGCAGAAGCACCGGCUAACUCCGUGCCAGCAGCCGCGGGAAUAAGGAGGGAGCAAGCGUUAAUCGGAAUUACUGGGCGUAAAGCGCACGCAGGCGGUCUGUCAAGUCGGAUGUGAAAUCCCCGGGCUCAACCUGGGAACUGCAUCCGAAACUGGCAGGCUUGAGUCUCGUAGAGGGGGGUAGAAUUCCAGGUGUAGCGGUGAAAUGCGUAGAGAUCUGGAGGAAUACCGGUGGCGAAGGCGGCCCCCUGGACGAAGACUGACGCUCAGGUGCGAAAGCGUGGGGAGCAAACA
rnacentral:rRNA from 1 species